rnacentral:rRNA from 1 species
UACGGAGGGUGCAAGCGUUGUUCGGAAUUAUUGGGCGUAAAGGGCAGGUAGGUGGUCUUAAAAGUCUACUGUGAAAUCCCCGAGCUUAACUUGGGAAGUGCGGUAGAUACUCUAAGACUAGAGUGCUGGAGGGGUUCGUGGAAUUCCCGGUGUAGCGGUGAAAUGCGCAGACUAUCAGGAGGAACACCGGUGGCGAAGGCGGGUCUCUGGGCCGAUACUGACGCUGGAGGAGCGAAAGCGUGGGGAGCGAACAGG